UGUACUGUGAACUGCGAAUGGCUCAUUAAAUCAGUUAUCGUUUAUUUGAUUGUACCAUUACUACUUGGAUAACCGUAGUAAUUCUAGAGCUAAUACAUGCGAAAAGUCCCGACUUCUGGAAGGGAUGUAUUUAUUAGAUUAAAAACCAAUGCGGGUUCCGCCCGGUUCUUUGGUGAUUCAUAGUAACUGAUCGAAUCGCACGGCCUUGCGCUGGCGAUGUUUCAUUCAAAUUUCUGCCCUAUCAACUGUCGAUGGUAAGGUAGUGGCUUACCAUGGUUGCAACGGGUGACGGAGAAUUAGGGUUCGAUUCCGGAGAGGGAGCCUGAGAAACGGCUACCACAUCCAAGGAAGGCAGCAGGCGCGCAAAUUACCCAAUCCUGACUCAGGGAGGUAGUGACAAGAAAUAACAAUACAGGGCUUUUCC
rnacentral:rRNA from 1 species